CAGAGGGUAUAAGCUGCAGGUUGUCAGCUGAUGCCAGCUGCACAUCAGAGAUGGAGACGCUACAGACGAGUCUGGUCUGUGGAAAGUUCUGGAUCUACGUCGCAGUCAUUGCGAUUUUUAUCUUGCUUGGCAGCAACUUUGAAUGCACUUGCAAACCACAAGCCUUUAACUGUAACUUGUACCUGGUUCUGCCAGUUUUUAUAACGUCUGUGUUCCUCCUGUGGACAGACAAGUCAUUUCAGAGAGUCUGUAGACACCUGUGUUCAUCUGGAGGCAGAGACUGGCCUCACACCUGCAGUUUUCUGGGCUCUGCCCUCCGUCACAUUAUCAAGGCAGCUUUCAUUGGUCUGCUGUGGAUGGUGUGUGUUUUCAUCAAUGGAGACUGGUAUGUUUGCUGUAUGAACGAUCAGUCUGAACAACAGGCUCAGUUAGCCUGUAAAUCUGCAGGGAGCAUCACUGACGAGGACAGAGCUAACAUCACUGAACUGAAAAACAGGUCAUGGGUUAUCGGCUCCUUUCUGCUCUUCUGUAUCAUUUGUGUGCCGGCCCUCUGGUCGUCAUGUGGAUGGAGGAAACGUUCAAGAUGUGAAAGGAAAAGGUUAUUUUACAAACUGAUUUUGAAAGAGGAGAAGAACGUGCUGAGAGAGAUAUUGAGGAAACAUGCGAAGGAAAAGCUGACAAAGGGAAUGGAGAACAGAAUCCGUCAUGAACGAUGGGAGGAGUGUUUUGAUGUUGCUGAAGAACUGAUUCAAGCGUCUACUGAACCGACUGUUUCUGAACCUGAGUGAGGGACACGAGCAGAGAGAGCGCAGAGCGUUAAAACAACCGGCUCAGAACCCUCUGCAAACACCGACCGAGAACAACAAGAUAAAAGUGUUGAUGAGUGAAGAUACGAAGAUCAUAGAUGAGUCUGAUCAGCUGAGAGCAUCAAAACAUGAUUAAAUAAAAUGAUGAUGAUUGAGUUUUUAAUUUACAGGAAACACAAGUCAUUUUAUCUUUAGAUUUUCUUCAUUAAACUUUUGUGUCUACAAUAUAAUGAACAAGCCAAUCACAUGGAAUCAUAACAUUUUUAACUAUGUAUAGGAUAUAUAGGAAUUAUAUUAAAAUUCUUAAGUUUAUAAAGUUUUAUAGUUUGUUCAUCAAACUUGUAUCACUGUGUUUUAAUCACACUGUGUUCAUGUCUUAUUAAUGCAAUAGAUAAUAAACCUCACAGAAACCUG